rnacentral:rRNA from 1 species
GUGCCAGCAGCCGCGGUAAUACAGAGGUGGCAAGCGUUGUUCGGAAUUACUGGGCGUAAAGGGCGAGUAGGCGGCCCUCUAAGUCAGACGUGAAAUCCCCCGGCUUAACCUGGGAACUGCGUCUGAUACUGGGGGGCUAGAGUAUGGGAGAGGGAGGUAGAAUUCCAGGUGUAGCGGUGAAAUGCGUAGAUAUCUGGAGGAAUACCGGUGGCGAAGGCGGCCUCCUGGACCAUAACUGACGCUGAUCCGCGAAAGCUAGGGGAGCAAACGGGAUUAGAUACCCCUGUAGUCC